rnacentral:rRNA from 1 species
AGCGGUAGAGGGGUAGCUUGCUACCCGCUGACGAGCGGCGGACGGGUGANUAAUGCAUAGGAAUCUGCCCNAGNGUGGGGGAUAACCUGGGGAAACCCAGGCUAAUACCGCAUACGUCCUACGGGAGAAAGGGGGCUUCGGCUCCCGCUAUUGGAUGAGCCUAUGUCGGAUUANCNNNNUUGGUGAGGUAAAGGCUCACCAAGGCAACGAUCCGUAGCUGGUCUGAGAGGAUGAUCAGCCACAUCGGGACUGAGACACGGCCCGAACUCCUACGGGAGGCAGCAGUGGGGAAUAUUGGACAAUGGGGGCAACCCUGAUCCAGCCAUGCCGCGUGUGUGAAGAAGGCCCUCGGGUUGUAAAGCACUUUCAGCGAGGAAGAACGCCUAUCGGUUAAUACCCGGUAGGAAAGACAUCACUCGCANAANAAGCACCGGCUAACUCCGUGCCAGCAGCCGCGGUAAUACGGAGGGUGCAAGCGUUAAUCGGAAUUACUGGGCGUAAAGCGCGCGUAGGUGGCUUGAUAAGCCGGUUGUGAAAGCCCCGGGCUCAACCUGGGAACGGCAUCCGGAACUGUCAGGCUAGAGUGCAGGAGAGGAAGGUAGAAUUCCCGGUGUAGCGGUGAAAUGCGUAGAGAUCGGGAGGAAUACCAGUGGCGAANGCGGCCUUCUGGACUGACACUGACACUGAGGUGCGAAAGCGUGGGUAGCAAACAGGAUUAGAUACCCUGGUAGUCCACGCCGUNNCGAUGUCGAC